UCUGAAUUCAUGACCUACUGAAAAGUGAAAACAAGAUGAAUGCCAACAAAUCCAGAUUCUUCCCCUCUCUCUAUGACCAGUCCAACGCAUGCUGGGAUAUUUGGACCUCAAUUUUGCAGCCGGACCAUAAUCAUUGCAAUGCGCAGCAGCAGCAGCAGCAGCAUCAGCAUCAGCCCGUUAGAGACACGGAGCGGUGGCCUGACACGGGCAUCCUAGUUGUGAACAACUACCAGCCUCUGGAGGUGUUUAGUCCCCCGACCGGUAUCCAUGGGGUCAGGAGGAGCGAAAUGGACGAAGUCAACGAGCUGGCUAUCCUGAUAAUGGAGUUGGAGUUAGGAGCGCAGAUGGGAGAGCCGUUGGAUCGAGGGAGAUAUUACUUCCUAAGCAACCUUCAUACCUCUGUCAUCCAACAACUGAGAAGAGAAGGAUUUAAAUCAGGGAAAAAACAAUAAUGCUUGUAUCUCAUCAUAAUCACCUUGAUUAACAACUAUUUAUAGUCAUAAAUAAAUCCUAUAUUAAACCUUUUUUA